rnacentral:rRNA from 1 species
CGGACGGGUGAGUAAUGUAUAGGAACUUGCCUAAUAGUGGGGGACAACGUGUGGAAACGCACGCUAAUACCGCAUACGCUCUACGGAGGAAAGCGGGGGAUCUUCGGACCUCGUGCUACUAGAUGGGCCUAUAUUGGAUUAGCUAGUUGGUAAGGUAAAGGCUUACCAAGGCGACGAUCCAUAGCUGGUUUGAGAGAAUGAUCAGCCACACUGGGACUGAGACACGGCCCAG